rnacentral:rRNA from 1 species
AUUGAACGCUGGCGGCAGGCCUAACACAUGCAAGUCGAGCGGAUGAAGGGAGCUUGCUCCUGGAUUCAGCGGCGGACGGGUGAGUAAUGCCUAGGAAUCUGCCUGGUAGUGGGGGAUAACGUCCGGAAACGGGCGCUAAUACCGCAUACGUCCUGAGGGAGAAAGUGGGGGAUCUUCGGACCUCACGCUAUCAGAUGAGCCUAGGUCGGAUUAGCUAGUUGGUGGGGUAAAGGCCUACCAAGGCGACGAUCCGUAACUGGUCUGAGAGGAUGAUCAGUCACACUGGAACUGAGACACGGUCCAGACUCCUACGGGAGGCAGCAGUGGGGAAUAUUGGACAAUGGGCGAAAGCCUGAUCCAGCCAUGCCGCGUGUGUGAAGAAGGUCUUCGGAUUGUAAAGCACUUUAAGUUGGGAGGAAGGGCAGUAAAUGAAUACCUUGCUGUUUUGACGUUACCAACAGAAUAAGCAACGGCUAACUUCGUG